AGUGAACGCUGGCGGUAGGCCUAACACGUGCAAGUCGAACGGCAGCACAGUAAUAGCUUGCUCUUACGGGUGGCGAGUGGCGGACGGGUGGGGAAUACAUCGGAAUCUACUUUUUCGCGGGGGAUAACGUAGGGAAACUAACGCUAAUACAGCAUACGACCUACGGGUGAAAGCAGGGGAUCUUCGGACAUUGUGCGAUUGAAUGAGCCGAUGUCGGAUUAGCUAGUUGGCGGGGUAAAGGCCCACCAAGGCGACGAUCCGUAGCUGGUCUGAGAGGAUGAUCAGCCACACUGGAACUGAGACACGGUCCAGACUCCUGAGGGAGGCAGCAGUGGGGAAUAUUGGACAAUGGGCGCAAGCCUGAUCCAGCCAUACCGCGUGGGUGAAGAAGGCCUUCGGGUUGUAAAGCCCUUUUGUUGGGAAAGAAAAGCAGCAGGUUAAUACCCCGCUGUUCUGACGGUACCCAAAGAAUAAGCACCGGCUAACUUCGUG
rnacentral:rRNA from 1 species